GUCACUCAGAGAUGUAGCCCUUCUGAAAUCCAUCAGUAGACAAGAAAGGAGGGACAUAAGUAGGCACCUCUGAGCUAGAAGGCAAUGAAAAUUCUGGCCAAGCAUGUGUGCAGCCCUGGCCCUCACCUUGGAGGAGGGGGCAGAUGUCCUUGAACAUGAUCCUCACUCUCGUGA